AUAAAUUAAUUCUUGAAGUUGUUUUAUUGAAUUAUUAUAUCAUAGUCAUCAUCCUCACGUUUAUAUUUUGUUGAAAGUCAUUUGUGGCCUGUAGUGCAUAGAUGGACUUGGUAUGAUUAUAACCAGGGAUUAUUCAGUAUAAUCAUUACCGUAAUGUUACAAAUGAUGUGGUAAAAGUCAUCUGUGGCCUGUAGUGCAUAGAUGGACUUGGUGUGAUUAUGACCAGAGAUUAUUC
rnacentral:lncRNA from 1 species